rnacentral:rRNA from 1 species
CAGUCGCCGCGGGAAUACGUAGGGUGCAAGCGUUAAUCGGAAUUACUGGGCGUAAAGCGUGCGCAGGCGGUUUCGUAAGACAGAUGUGAAAUCCCCGGGCUUAACCUGGGAACUGCAUUUGUGACUGCGAGGCUAGAGUGUGUCAGAGGGGGGUGGGAUUCCACGUGUAGCAGUGAAAUGCGUAGAUAUGUGGAGGAACACCGAUGGCGGAGGCAGCCCCCUGGGAUAACACUGACGCUCAUGCACGAAAGCGUGGGGAGCAAACAGGAUUAGAUACCCGUGUAGUCCCUGUCUCUUAUAC